rnacentral:misc_RNA from 1 species
AACGCACAUUGCGCCCGCCAGUAUUCUGGCGGGCAUGCCUGUUCGAGCGUCAUUUCAACCCUCAAGCCCGCAGCGGCUUGGUGUUGGGGGCCGGCAAUAGUGCCUCGCGUUGUAUGAUGCGAGCGCGCGCCGCCCCCGAAAUGAAUUGGCGGUCUCGUCGCGGCCUCCUCUGCGUAGUAGCAUAAACCUCGCAACGGGAGCGCGGCGCGGCCACUGCCGUAAAACGCCCAACUUUUUCUCAAGAGUUGACCUCGAAUCAGGUAGGAAUACCCGCUGAACUUAA